GUUUCAAAAUUUCAGAAUCACCAAACUCUUGUUUGAAACGCUUGAACUGUAAAUCCCUAGCUGCUCUCAUCUUGUUCAAUCAAUCUCUGAAGGUGACGAUAUCUCGGAGAUUCACGAAGGUUCAGUUGUAAGCAUCAUCUUUAUUGGUCAGUAAGAACCCACAAUGUCAAAUUUGAUGAAGAUCUUCCUUGAGAAUAUACUUGCUCUGGCUCAUAUUGUAAGUUGGCUUUCUUAAUAAUAAAAUAGAUAAUCUACUUUUUGAAUUAUUCAAGCAUGUUGCACACAAAUUUCCCCUUUUCAUGUUUGUAUAUUUAGGCCUUGAGAUUCUUGUAUGAUAAGUAGCCCAUUCUCUCAGGCUUCCCUUCAAGGAUGUGUUAUAUCUAUAAGCUUAAGUGCACUUAGGAUAGUUUUUUUCUUCAUCAGUAUUGCUUCAAAUGACAUAUCCAAUCUAUAAGCUUGAGGAGUCAAAAUCCAUUGACUUUAAGAGCUCAAUAUAUAAACAAGAAGGAACCUGAGAUUAGGCACUGCUCUCGGAUUUAUUCGCAAGCAAGAUCAGACUCUAAUUGGAAGCUAAAAAUGAAUAUAGUAAUAAUUUUUAUUAAUAUUUGUUAUGUUCUAAGAUCAUUCUCUAGUGUUAUAUUUGAAUGUAGUAAUAAUUUUUAUUAAUAUUUGUUAUGUUCUAAGAUCUUGCUGUUUAGUUGGCUACAAAAUGAGCUUGUGCUCUAGCCUACUAUUGUAGAUUUGUAGUAAUUUUAGUUCAAAUUUAAGGAAGAAAAGAGGCAUUUUUAAGGGAUUGCAGUUUUCUCAA